GAGUUUGAUCAUGGCUCAGAUUGAACGCUGGCGGCAUGCCUUACACAUGCAAGUCGAACGGCAGCACGGGAGCUUGCUCCUGGUGGCGAGUGGCGAACGGGUGAGUAAUGCAUCGGAACGUAUCCUGGAGUGGGGGAUAACGUAGCGAAAGUUACGCUAAUACCGCAUAUUCUGUGAGCAGGAAAGCGGGGGACCUUCGGGCCUCGCGCUCUUGGAGCGGCCGAUGUCGGAUUAGCUAGUUGGUGAGGUAAAGGCUCACCAAGGCGACGAUCCGUAGCAGGUCUGAGAGGAUGAUCUGCCACACUGGAACUGAGACACGGUCCAGACUCCUACGGGAGGCAGCAGUGGGGAAUUUUGGACAAUGGGGGGCAACCCUGAUCCAGCCAUGCCGCGUGAGUGAAGAAGGCC
rnacentral:rRNA from 1 species